CUGACCGCAUGACUCCGUAUCUCGCUUCGUCGCCGAACUCGUUGUAAGACACCACGCGCUUCUGGCCCGUCCCGGCAUCGGACAGUUUAGAGCAGCCGCCGUACGACAGAUAACUCAACCCUACUCGACGUAAUAAAAAGAUUCGUUGCCGCCUUGCGUCCUGCUAAUCAUAUUUUGCAAUAAG